rnacentral:rRNA from 1 species
CCUACGGGAGGCAGCAGUGGGGAAUCUUCCGCAAUGGACGAAAGUCUGACGGAGCAACGCCGCGUGAGUGAUGAAGGUCUUCGGAUUGUAAAGCUCUGUUAAUCGGGACGAAAGGCCUUCUUGCGAAUAGUGAGAAGGAUUGACGGUACCGGAAUAGAAAGCCACGGCUAACUACGUGCCAGCAGCCGCGGUAAUACGUAGGUGGCAAGCGUUGUCCGGAAUUAUUGGGCGUAAAGCGCGCGCAGGCGGAUAGGUCAGUCUGUCUUAAAAGUUCGGGGCUUAACCCCGUGAUGGGAUGGAAACUGCUGAUCUAGAGUAUCGGAGAGGAAAGUGGAAUUCCUAGUGUAGCGGUGAAAUGCGUAGAUAUUAGGAAGAACACCAGUGGCGAAGGCGACUUUCUGGACGAAAACUGACGCUGAGGCGCGAAAGCCAGGGGAGCGAACGGGAUUAGAUACCCGUGUAGUC